rnacentral:tRNA from 1 species
GCUCAAAUGGGUUCAAAUUGAACUGGAUUCAAAAUCCAGUUCUUUCGGGAGUGUGGGUUCGAUUCCCACCUCGAGUAC